CCUACGGGUGGCAGCAGUGUGGAAUAUUGGUCAAUGGCCGCAGGGCUGAACCAGCCAAGUCGCGUGAGGGAUGACGGUCCUAUGGAUUGUAAACUUCUUUUGUCAGGGAGCAAAGGGCGCCAUGUGUGGCGUUUUGCGUGUACCUUAAGUAAAAGCAUCGGCUAACUCCGUUCCAGCAGCCCCGGUAAUACGGAGGAUGCGAGCGCUAUCCGGAUUUAUUGGGUUAAAAGGGUGCGCAGGCGGAAUGUAAUGUCAGCGGUAAAAUUUCGGGGCUCAACCCCGUCGUGCCGUUGAAACUGGCGUUCUUGAGUGAGCGAGAGGUAUGCGGAAUGCGUGGUGUAGCGGUGAAAUGCAUAGAUAUCACGCAGAACUCCGAUUGCGAAGGCAGCAAACCGGCGCUCAACUGACGCUCAUGCGCGAAAGCGUGGGUAUCGAACAGGAUUAGAUACCCUAGUAGUC
rnacentral:rRNA from 1 species